UUUUACUAGUGAGAGUACAAUAUCUAUAUAUACAUUUUCAGAAACAUUUAUGAAAAAAUUCCUCAAGUUCACACUUAUUUACAAUCCUGCCACUGUCUUUAAUUUUUUUAAUUGAUAAGUUGGGUUCUACGAUUAACAAUAAACAACUGAAGGCUGAAGCCCAUUUCAAUUCUACUAUUAAUAUGAAUCCGAAUAAUUGCCCACCCCCAAAAAAAAAAUUUCAAAUAUUUAAUAGAUUUUAUUACCUUCAAUGAUAAUCCUAAGCGAGAUUUGUUGCCUAACUUCUUGAUUUGCAAAUAUCUUCUAAAUCAAUCAAGUGAAACAGAAAUAAAUAUAAGAAUAUAUCAUAUCACACAAAGAUACCAUAAAAACUAAUAUAGUAAUUAUCUCCCUAAUUACUUGCUUGAUCGGAUUUUUUUGGUAUUGUAAAAGAUGUGUUCGUCGACCUAAUCGGUUCCUUAUAAAUAAUACUAACCUAAAACUCAAAUAAUCAUAAGAAAUCACAUCUAUACAGCUUUCACAAAAAAAUCUUAAAUACUUUAUCUCUUAAUUCUCUAUGGCUGCUACUUUUGCCUUCUUGAAAGAUGUUUGAAAACCGCAUAGAGGGUCCAAGUGAAGGUCAUCCAUUCAUGGCAUCAAUAUACCCAAAACACUGUGGAAACGCUAGAGUUCGUUUUCUCAGAUUCAAUGGUUUUAUAUGUGAAGACUUUUCUAUCACUACUGAAGAUUAUGUAAACGUCAAUUGUACUUAUCUUUCUCAUGGCAGCUACAGGUUUUAUAUGUGAAUACUGGAUUUAUGUGGACAAGAUUUGGAAAUCAUGUAUCCAUGUCACAAUUGAAUAUAGGCAGCAC